AGCUCGGUCUUACGCAAUGGAAAUCUACGAACCGUGUCAGGUUGGGAACAAAGCAGCACUAAGUAGAACCUUCCAUGUGCCGUGAGGAAACUGGGUGGAG
rnacentral:SRP_RNA from 1 species